rnacentral:rRNA from 1 species
AGAACGAACGCUGGCGGCAUGCCUAACACAUGCAAGUCGAACGCUUUUGGGGCUUCGGUCCCAAAGGAGUGGCGCACGGGUGAGUAGCGCGUGGGAACCUGCCCUGUUGUGGGGGAUAACUGAGGGAAACUUCGGCUAAUACCGCAUACGCCCGGGGGAAACUCCGGGGAAAGAUUUAUCGCAGCAGGAGGGGCCCGCGUCGGAUUAGGUAGUUGGUGGGGUAACGGCCCACCAAGCCUGUGAUCCGUAGCUGGUCUGAGAGGAUGAUCAGCCACACUGGGACUGAGACACGGCCCAGACUCCUACGGGAGGCAGCAGUGGGAAUAUUGGACAAUGGGCGCAAGCCUGAUCCAGCAAUGCCGCGUGAGUGAUGAAGGCCUUCGGGUUGUAAAGCUCUUUCGCACGCGACGAUGAUGACGGUAGCGUGAGAAGAAGCCCCGGCUAACUUCGUGCCAGCAGCCGC